rnacentral:rRNA from 1 species
GUGCCAGCCGCCGCGGUAAUACGUAGGUGGCAAGCGUUGUCCGGAUUUACUGGGCGUAAAGGAUGUGUAGGCGGAUAUUUAAGUGAGAUGUGAAAUCCCCGGGCUUAACUUGGGGGCUGCAUUUCAAACUGGAUGUCUAGAGUGCAGGAGAGGAAAGCAGAAUUCCUAGUGUAGCGGUGAAAGGCGUAAAGAUAAGGAAGAAUACCAGUGGCGAAGGCGUGUUUCUGGACUGUAACUGACGCUGAGGCAUGAAAGCGUGGGGAGAAAACAGGAUUAGAGACCCUGGGAGUCCA